rnacentral:rRNA from 1 species
UGGGGAAUUUUGGACAAUGGGCGUAAGCCUGAUCCAGCCAUUCCGCGUGCAGGACGAAGGCCUUCGGGUUGUAAACUGCUUUUGUACGGAACGAAAAGGCUCUGGCUAAUACCUGGGGCUCAUGACGGUACCGUAAGAAUAAGCACCGGCUAACUACGUGCCAGCAGCCGCGGUAAUACGUAGGGUGCAAGCGUUAAUCGGAAUUACUGGGCGUAAAGCGUGCGCAGGCGGUUAUGUAAGACAGAGGUGAAAUCCCCGGGCUCAACCUUGGAACUGCCUUUGUGACUGCAUAGCUGGAGUACGGCAGAGGGGGAUGGAAGUCCGCGUGUAGCAGUGAAAUGCGUAGAUAUGCGGAGGAACACCGAUGGCGAAGGCAAUCCCCUGGGCCUGUACUGACGCUCAUGCACGAAAGCGUGGGGAGCAAACA